rnacentral:lncRNA from 1 species
GGGCCAUCUUCUGGUACAUCAGAGGAGGACAUUGGAUCUGCAGCAGCCUCAGGCUGUUGCUCCUCUUGCAUUCCUGGAAUGUAGGCUUAUUUUCACCAAUCUCACAAGAACCUCUCGUUCGCGAGCUCGGUGCGGGCCGCCCAGAGGCGGCGGGACCGCCGCUGGCCGAGGCGCUGCGGGAGAAGGAAAGCGGCAGCGCGGAGCUCCGGCACCGGGCGCGUUGGUCGGGCAACGUGCGGCAUCAGUCAUGGGCGCGGGGCGGGCCGGCGGCGCGCGGCACUCUGGGGCCUGGAGUCCGCCGGCACUUCCGGCCCCGCGGCGGGAGGCGGCGGCGGCGGAGGGCGGCGGACUACGGCUCCCAGAGAGCGCGGCUCCGCUCGGGCUCGGCCGGGAUGAGCGCCGCGCGGCCGCGGUUCCGCUCGGUCGGAGCCGCCCGAGCUCGUCCCUGUGGAAGGGCUCCGUGCGUGGCUCCUGCGGCCGCUGCGCGGGUCCGUCCGGCACCCUGGGAGCGGGGCCCGCCGCGGGGGGAAGGCAGGCGGGGUGACGGGCGUCGCUCCCGCGGCAGCUCCUAUCCCGGCCUCCUGCCUCGGGCCGCCGGCUGCUGCCGUGCGGGGUGGGCGCGGCCCUUCCGCGUGGGACUGCGGGGUGAAGCGCGGCGAGACGCGGCCGCAGCGUGUGUGGAAGCGCGAAGAACCCGCGCCUCCCUCCCGCGCUUUGUCUUUGCCGGCGGCCUUUCCUCAGCUGCUGGGUGUUAAUGCUUCACCCGCCAAACCUGAACGAGCCGCGCUGCACGACCUGUUUAAACGCAGCCUGUGCUCGAGGAUGCUUCAGAUCCCUUCGUGGACGCAUACCCGUGUUCCACCAGUCACAAAAACUUGCUCAAGGAAGACACGUCAGGAGGUGACAGGUGGUGAUCGUUUUCUGAAGCUUUCUCUGCCCUGCGCUCUGUUUCUGACAGGUCAUAGCCAAACACUGCAUCUGAGCACAAAGUGUAUUAUCGGUAUGGUUUGACUAGAACUGAGGUGCGUUUUCUGGUCCUUUCUUAAGUAUCUUACUCCACGGACAUAUCCUGGCCAGCGCUACUCUGGGAUAGGGCUGAGGUCUGAAAGUACGUGGCACGUGGAAAUGGAGUGCUGACGUGUUGGGGCAGAUGGGGCUCUCACUUCCCGUUUGGCGUGGUGACGGUUCAACUUGCUGUGCAGGCACAGAUCAGGCAGCUGUGCGAUUGACUAAAGCACGUACCAAGCAGAUGUCUAACCUGUUAUCUACAGUGCACUGUGUUCAAUUCCAGCUGUACAUCUGAAGUGUCUCUCCUGCCACAACAUCGCUCCUGUCUUGUGCAAACACUGCGAGCCCUUUAGUAGACUGCAGACAUGUUCCCAAGCUUGCCACUACUUCAGCUGCAAAGAUCCGCAGAUAACUUUUGGUUCAGAGCUGAGGAUCACUAUCUUAGCCUGCAGAAAACACCUCGCCUGAUCUGAUCUGAUUUGGCAAUUCAUCUGCUUGGGGGCAUAGCGUGAACCCUGGAAGCCUGCUGCUUCUCCAGUUCAUGAUGCUGCACCCUGAUUGUGUCAACAGUAGCAGCACUUUCACUUACAGUUGCUUCAGGCUCUGCUUCCUCUGCUGGCUCAGCAAGAGCAGAGGUAGCUGAACAUGCCUUUACAAGGACCAUGCUAAGACGCAGGUCUCUGCUAAUAUGAAGCAAUGCCAAAGGAGUGCCUGUGCUGUUUCUGCCUGCUCUGUGGUAUACAACAUUUCUCAGAGAUGAAGGACACAGAGAUGGGAAGUUCAUGGGACAGAAAAGGCCUUGGUCCUGCUGCAGCCAGCAAUGCCAGGGGCCAGCAGGCAUGCUGGGGUGGUCUGAGGUGCCCUCGUGCCAGAGCUCUGUGAACCAGCUGGCAUUGCUCACAGCUGUGGCCUCAGUGCCGGAGUGUGCAUGGCUGCAUGUCUGGUCUGUAUUAGCUAAGAUUUGUUGUAGUUGAAUGCCCAAUUAAUUUACAAUUACAAGGUGGGUCACUGGUGUCUGCCGAGCGACCUACUGUAACACAUACUUUGGGCUCUUAAAAGUUUGUUUUUAAUACUUAGUGUAUCUUCUUUAAAUGGCAUUGUUACCAUGGGAUUACUUGGAGGCCAGGGGUGGAUGCCCAUAGUUAAGAAAGCAGUUGUUUCAUGGAUUUCUUAGUGUUUCAAAUCUAUUUUAAAUGCAUUUUUCUUUAACUGAAACUGAGCCUCACUGAAUCAGGCACAGCACGGAACAUUUGAGGUAAUUUUAUGAAUGAGUGGAGAGUCAGAAAGGCUCCUUCACGUAGCUCUGAGGCAUAGGUAUUUCCAGAAGAGGAUGCACACCUCUCCCUGCCCUCUUCUGUUCUUCACUACCACCGUUCUGCUUCCCUAUCUCUUCUUCUCUCUCCUCCUCUCCUUAGGAACCAGUAGCAGUGAGCACGGCAUUAGCUGCAAUUCUGUUGUCUUCUGUGUCCUCUGAACACAGAGCCUGUGAGACAUUUGCAUCAGCCCCAGGGCAGGCUGCAGGCAGCACUGGGCGGGCAUUUGUCUCUCCCGUUCACCACGGGCUCUCAAGAACUCGCAGUAACAACGGAUUCACACAAAACAGUCCUGUUAAAAACCCUUAGCACCAGGAAGUCGUCCAGGCACCCAACGCUUGGAUGCAGGCGCGGUAUCCUCGCACUCCUCGCUGCAGGUAUGAAGGACAAACCGUUCCCAUGCCUUUGCAGCAUCCCUCACCUGUUCAAACAUCCUCAUGCCUUAAGACUCACCAGCCUACAGAAGCCAAACGAAUAUUUACCUCCCGAGUCACGGCCUCUGGUCAGCAGCGGCGGCGCUGGGCCGGUGCUGCGUGGCACGGCCAGAGUGUGGCACAGCCGGGGUGCGGCGCUGCCCGUUCAGCGCACAAAAGUGGCUGUGCUGCUCCGUGUCUUCCCUGUCACCCGCGGUGGCUCCGUUGUCCGCGGGCGGGGAGCGGGUGCCGCCGGGCUCGCGGGGCUGUAGCGCCCUCUGGCGGUCCCCUGCCGUCAGCGCUCCUCUGGCUGCGCGGCGGCCCCGGUUCCCCUCUUGCCUUUCACACCCGCACUUCUGUUAUCACUCAGGACGAGCAUCCUAAGGCCAGCUUUGAUAUACUUUCUUCGCUGAGCUCAGCGGUACGGAGAGUAUUUAUGUUUCUCCAAAACAGGGGGCAUCAUCUGCACUGCAGGCAGUCUGCUGACAGGGAGAUUAAAGCGUACUUUGCUGCUGGGAGGGAUGCAGCCUGUUCAUUCCUCACCCAGAGGCCAGGGCAGGCAGACAUUGCUGAUAACCGUGUUAGAAGAUUGCCAGCCAGCGUGGUAUCAGUGCUGAGGUAUGAGUGCUGAUCAGUUUCUGAGGGUGAUGACCCCCAGCAGCACUGAGAUGCUCUCAGAUUUGCUCCUUCAGCAUUGCAUCGGAGGCCACGAAAUGCUGCAUGUGGAUAGUACUGCUCUGAUAAAGCUGAGCUGGGAAAUCGCAUGAGCCAGGCUGCACAAUGGAUUUAGCUCAGCCUCUUCUGAACUUCACAGUUUAGCCUUAACCUACUUACUGUGCUUGGGGCCAGUCCGUCACUCGUGGCCCCGUGAAGUGACGCUGGGGAAAGCCAAUGGCUGCAGGUAAUGCAUCGGUGCUCUAAGCCCAGGCCAACACAGGCAGGCAUGCAGCCUGGUGUGUCAUAUGGGACCGGAUGGUGCUGAUGGGACCGAGGCCUACAGCCCCAUUGUUCUUCCUCUGCUUCUUCCUCUUCUUCUCCCCCUUCCCACAGCGUAGAGUGAGCUUGGGCAAGAGGAGCUGUUAGCUGUGUCAGCACAGGGCUGUGUUCCAGGUCACUUGUGUGGGAGGCACGCGGAGCGGGCAGCGCUGGGCUGAUGUGACAGCCAGGCCUAUGUGAAAGCGGCACUGGGCUUCCCUUCUCCAGGGACUGAUGCUGCAGCCCAGGAGGUAAACCAGAGUUUCUGCUGCUUCACAGAGAAGGCUUGGAAAGCAGCAAACCAGGGAUGUGCCCCAGUAAGGGAGCCUAGAGUGGCACCACUGAACGUUUCUGUUCACCAGACAUAACCAGCAGUCCCACAUUAGAACAUAACGCCAGUAGGCUCUGGAAGACAAAGAGAGACAAUGGAGCUAUUAUAGACAGUCUUGUUCCUACACACAAACAAUUAAUCCACGCAGUGCUGUUUUCAAAUAAUAACAGUCUGGAUUGGAGCCACAGAGCAGAAAAGUCUGGACUAAAGCCAACUUGCAAUCCUUAGCACACACUAUUCUGCCUCAGAUUUGAAAGCCAUAUGACCUUAUGAGAACCUUUUUGGUGUAAUCGCACCAUAUGUAAAUAAACGAAUUAAAGAUCAAUGCAGAGUUAUGAAUCACUGAAAAUCACUGCUCAUGUUAAUGUGAGAUAUGUGUACAAGGAUUAAAAGGAUGGG